UACCCAUCCCCCUAAGCUAGGCUA
rnacentral:siRNA from 1 species